UACGUAGGGUGCGAGCGUUAAUCGGAAUUAUUGGGCGUAAAGCGCGCGCAGGCGGUCCUUUAAGUCUGAUGUGAAAGCCCUCGGCUCAACCGAGGAAGGUCAUUGGAAACUGGAGGACUUGAGUGCAGAAGAGGAAAGUGGAAUUCCAAGUGUAGCGGUGAAAUGCGUAGAGAUUUGGAGGAACACCAGUGGCGAAGGCGACUUUCUGGUCUGUAACUGACGCUGAGGCGCGAAAGCGUGGGGAGCAAACAGG
rnacentral:rRNA from 1 species